AAGUCCAUGGUGGGCUUCCCUGCUUUGAUGUGGUUUCGCAGGAAAAACAUCCGCAAAUGAGCAACAACCAACAGGACUUCUUUUCUGUUUUAGCCCACCUUGAGAUUUUUGAAAGUGAUGCUAAUUAGUCUCAGGGUUGGUCGGAUUCUCCAGUGCCAGGGGAAUGUGUGAGGGACUCAGCUCUGAACACAAAAAGAAAAAAGGUGUUUCACCUGCUCCUGACCAGAUUCCUGGCCUGGAACACAUGGCCACAACUCCCCACAUAAAGAACAGAGCACAGAGUUCUCCUUGCUAAUGAGUUGCUUUGACACCACAAAAACAGAGCUGAAUCAUUGCAACAAACACCCACUGGAUCGCAUUGAAAAAGCCAGCUACUGUGUUGCAAGCCAGCCUAGGGAGAGGCCCAGGUGGCAAGAGAUCGAGUGCAGCAUGAGAGUACAGCCAGCCAAAAACUAAAGCCCUUUGUCUGACAGCCUGCCAGGAACUGAAGGCAGCCAGGCACCACAGGAGCCAGGAGUGGAUCUUUCUGCCACCUUGCAUGGAUGAGCCAGACAGCAUGCACAUUUCUCUCCUGUGAAUUCACGUGGCAUUACCUACUCUAUUUUCAAAGCUCUGCCGAAUUCUAUGAAAUGGCAGAAUGAAAUUCCAUUGAUGGACUGUCAGAUAUAAGCAACCACUGGCAAGCUGUUUAGGUAGAAGCAAUACAGUGUGACCAUUGCACUGUUCACAAAGCUGCACUUUCUUUUAUAAAUGUUUCUGCCCCAUACAAUCAUAUAAAUGGAUUUGAGGGUG